rnacentral:rRNA from 1 species
UACAGAGGUCUCAAGCGUUGUUCGGAUUCAUUGGGCGUAAAGGGUGUGUAGGUGGCGCGCUAAGUCGGGUGUGAAAUUUCGGAGCUUAACUCCGAAACUGCAUUCGAUACUGGCGUGCUUGAGGACUGGAGAGGAGACUGGAAUUCAUGGUGUAGCAGUGAAAUGCGUAGAUAUCUGGAGGAAUACCGGUGGCGAAGGCGGCAUCCUGGACCGACAUUGACGCUGAGGAGCGAAAGCCAGGGGAGCAAACGGG